rnacentral:rRNA from 1 species
UACGGAGGGUGCGAGCGUUAAUCGGAAUUACUGGGCGUAAAGGGCGCGUAGGCGGCUGAUCAAGUCAGGUGUGAAAGCCCACGGCUUAACCGUGUGAAGUGCAUCUGAAACUGGUCGGCUUGAGUAUCGGAGAGGAAUGUGGAAUUCCCGGUGUAGAGGUGAAAUUCGUAGAUAUCUGGAAGAACACCAGUGGCGAAGGCGGCUUCUUGGUCUGUAACUGACGCUGAGGCGCGAAAGCGUGGGGAGCAAACAGGAUUAGAAACCCUAGUAGU